GGAAGGUUGCUCAGGGUGAUGGGAGACAAGUUCCAUCCUGCUUUAUUACAUCUCUCUCUCUUUCUCUCUGGCAUCUUCCAGAUGUUGUUUCAGUUAUUGAUGCACAUGAGGAGACUGCUCCAUUCACUGGUGGAUGGUCCUUUCCAAAUAUUCCAGGGUAUUGGAGAGCAGAGCUGCUUCAGUUUGAAUCAAAGAAGCUUCUCGGAUGAGAAGUGAAAUGUUUUCAAAGAAAAAACCCAAGGAAGUCC